rnacentral:rRNA from 1 species
AAUGCCUAGGAAUCUGCCUAGUAGUGGGGGAUAACGUCCGGAAACGGGCGCUAAUACCGCAUACGUCCUACGGGAGAAAGUGGGGGAUCUUCGGACCUCACGCUAUUAGAUGAGCCUAGGUCGGAUUAGCUAGUUGGUGAGGUAAUGGCUCACCAAGGCUACGAUCCGUAACUGGUCUGAGAGGAUGAUCAGUCACACUGGAACUGAGACACGGUCCAGACUCCUACGGGAGGCAGCAGUGGGGAAUAUUGGACAAUGGGCGAAAGCCUGAUCCAGCCAUGCCGCGUGUGUGAAGAAGGUCUUCGGAUUGUAAAGCACUUUAAGUUGGGAGGAAGGGCAGUUACCUAAUACGUGAUUGUUUUGACGUUACCGACAGAAUAAGCACCGGCUAACUCUGUGCCAGCAGCCGCGGUAAUACAGAGGGUGCAAGCGUUAAUCGGAAUUACU